rnacentral:rRNA from 1 species
AGCGUGCGAUUGGAUUGCACGUCUAAGCAGUAAGGCUGAGUAUUAGGCAAAUCCGGUACUCAUUAAGGCUGAGCUGUGAUGGGGAGAAGACAUUGUGUCUUCGAGUCGUUGAUUUCACACUGCCGAGAAAACCCUCUAGAUAGAAAAUAGGUGCCCGUACCGCAAACCGACACAGGUAGUCAAGAUGAGAAUUCUAAGGUGAGCGAGCGAACUCUCGUUAAGGAACUCGGCAAAAUGACCCCGUAACUUCGGGAGAAGGGGUGCUCUUUAGGGUUAACGCCCAGAAGAGCCGCAGUGAAUAGGCCCAAGCGACUGUUUAUCAAAAACACAGGUCUCUGCUAAACCGUAAGGUGAUGUAUAGGGGCUGACGCCUGCCCGGUGCUGGAAGGUUAAGAGGAGUGGUUAGCUUCUGCGAAGCUACGAAUCGAAGCCCCAGUAAACGGCGGCCGUAACUAUAACGGUCCUAAGGUAGCGAAAUUCCUUGUCGGGUAAGUUCCGACCCGCACGAAAGGCGUAACGAUUUGGGCACUGUCUCAACGAGAGACUCGGUGAAAUCAUAGUACCUGUGAAGAUGCAGGUUACCCGCGACAGGACGGAAAGACCCCGUGGAGCUUUACUGUAGCCUGAUAUUGAAAUUCGGCACAGCUUGUACAGGAUAGGUAGGAGCCUUUGAAACGUGAGCGCUAGCUUACGUGGAGGCGCUGGUGGGAUACUACCCUAGCUGUGUUGGCUUUCUAACCCGCACCACUUAUCGUGGUGGGAGACAGUGUCAGGCGGGCAGUUUGACUGGGGCGGUCGCCUCCUAAAAGGUAACGGAGGCGCUCAAAGGUUCCCUCAGAAUGGUUGGAAAUCAUUCAUAGAGUGUAAAGGCAUAAGGGAGCUUGACUGCGAGACCUACAAGUCGAGCAGGGUCGAAAGACGGACUUAGUGAUCCGGUGGUUCCGCAUGGAAGGGCCAUCGCUCAACGGAUAAAAGCUACCCCGGGGAUAACAGGCUUAUCUCCCCCAAGAGUUCACAUCGACGGGGAGGUUUGGCACCUCGAUGUCGGCUCAUCGCAUCCUGGGGCUGUAGUCGGUCCCAAGGGUUGGGCUGUUCGCCCAUUAAAGCGGUACGCGAGCUGGGUUCAGAACGUCGUGAGACAGUUCGGUCCCUAUCCGUCGUGGGCGUAGGAAAUUUGAGAGGAGCUGUCCUUAGUACGAGAGGACCGGGAUGGACAUACCUCUGGUGUACCAGUUGUCGUGCCAACGGCAUAGCUGGGUAGCUAUGUGUGGACGGGAUAAGUGCUGAAAGCAUCUAAGCAUGAAGCCCCCCUCAAGAUGAGAUUUCCCAACUUCGGUUAUAAGAUCCCUCAAAGAUGAUGAGGUUAAUAGGUUCGAGGUGGAAGCAUGGUGACAUGUGGAGCUGACGAAUACUAA